rnacentral:lncRNA from 1 species
AUCCUUUCGCGGUCCGCCGAGGCCUCGGAGCAGCGCGACCCGGGUUCCCGCCUCAGGCCCCAGGAGGCGAGGUGUACAGUCCGGUAAAGGAAUGGAGCGCCCGCCGAGCGGUCGCUGCGGGGGUAGCCUCGCGGAGGUUGUUUGGCCUCUCACGGCCCCCGUAUCCAACGGAAGAGGAGUCCGUUGGAAUAGACGACCCGGAUUUCGGCUGUUGUAGGGCAGUUCCUGGGCUCCCGCGGAGCGAUGAGACGUUGUGAAUUAGAUGUGAGAAGAGGGACGCUUGGUCUGCGACCACCAAGACCCCACAGGAUCGAUGCACCCACCCCUGCUGAUGACCAUGACCAUCUAAAGGGGAACAUCAUUUGAGGGGCCCUACUCAUGGAUCAGAAGCCCCUCUUCACUGUGGGGUGUGCUGGGUUGGCGGGCAGUUGCCGUGGAAUCAGUUUCCUCAGGACCCAUAUCUGACCACCCUCAUAAGGUUGUCAGGGCGAUUCCAACAUUCGGGGUUCCCAGCAGCCCAGAUCCCCCACAUCCAGCUCUUCAGCCUACUCAGAGCUCUCCACGCUCACUCACAUGUCCCUCUCGCAAGUAGCCCGAUCAACUCACCUGGUGUCAUGGGCACUAAGGUGUUAAUGGAUUUUCUCUGGUCACCUUUGCAGCUCCACUGUUUUGAGAUGUGGUGGUCUGGCUGGCGACUGAGGGUGUCCACUCA